rnacentral:rRNA from 1 species
GACGAACGCUGGCGGCGUGCUUAACACAUGCAAGUCGAACGGAAAGGCCCUGCUUUUGCGGGGUGCUCGAGUGGCGAACGGGUGAGUAACACGUGAGUAACCUGCCCUUGACUUUGGGAUAACUUCAGGAAAAUGGGGCUAAUACCGGAUAGGAGCUCCUGCUGCAUGGUGGGGGUUGGAAAGUUUCGGCGGUUGGGGAUGGACUCGCGGGUUACCAGCUUGUUGGUGAGGUAGUGGCUCACCAAGGCUUUGAAGGGUAGCCGGCCUGGGAGGGUGGCCGGCCACAUUGGGACUAAGAGACGGCCCAGACUCCUACGGGAGGCAGCAGUGGGGAAUAUUGCACAAUGGGCGGGAGCCAGAUGCAGCGACGCCGCGUGCGGGAUGACGGCCUUCGGGUUGUAAACCGCUUUCGCCUGUGACGAAGCGUGAGUGACGGUAAUGGGUAAAGAAGCACCGGCUAACUACGUG